GACGAACGCUGGCGGCGUGCUUAACACAUGCAAGUCGAACGAAGUGGCGAACGGGUGAGUAAUACGUGGGUAACCUGCCCUCCUUUUUGGGAUAAGCCUUGGAAACGGGGUCUAAUACCGAAUAAAGGGGGAUGGGCUCGCGGCCUAUCAGCUUGUUGGUGGGGUGAUGGCCUACCAAGGGGGUGACGGGUAGCCGGCCUGAGAGGGUGACCGGCCAAAUUGGGACUGGGAUCCGGCCCGAACUCCUACGGGAGGCGGCGGGGGGGAUUAUGUAACAAGGGGCAAAGGCCGAUUGAGGGGAGGCGGCGUGGGGGAUAAAGGCUUUCGGUUGGAAAACUUCUUUCGCUAUCAAACGGGUAGGUGGAGAAGAAGCGCCGGCUAACUACGUGCCAGCAGCCGCGGUAAUUC
rnacentral:rRNA from 1 species